CCUACGGGCGGCAGCAGUGAGGAAUAUUGGGCAAUGGGCGCAAGCCUGAACCAGCCAAGUCGCGUGAGGGAUGACGGUCCUAUGGAUUGUAAACCUCUUUUGUCGGGGAGCAAGGCCCGCCACGUGUGGCGGGAAGGAGAGUACCCGAAGAAAAAGCAGCGGCUAACUCCGUGCCAGCAGCCGCGGAAAUACGGAGGAUGCGAGCGUUAUCCGGAUUCAUUGGGUGUAAGGGGUGCGUAGGCGGGCAUUUGAGCCGGCGGUCAAAUGUCGGGGCUCAACCCCGGCCUGCCGUCGGAACUGGGUGCCUUGAGUGGGCGAGAGGUAUGCGGAAUGCGUGGUGUAGCGGUGAAAUGCAUAGAUAUCACGCAGAACCCCGAUUGCGAAGGCAGCAUACCGGCGCCCUACUGACGCUGAGGCACGAAAGUGCGGGUAUCGAACAGGAUUAGAUACCCUUGUAGUC
rnacentral:rRNA from 1 species